CUUCUUCGAUCUGCUGUGGGCAAAUGAAGUGGAUAUGGGCGUCCAUGCCGCCGGCCGUGAGGAUUUUGCCCUCACCGGCUAUGGCCUCGGUCGAGGGGCCGAUGAUGAUGUCUACGCCGGACUGGGUGUCGGGAUUGCCCGCCUUGCCGAUGCCGACGAUGCGGCCGUUUUUGAGGCCGAUAUCGGCUUUGAAAAUGCCGGUAUAAUCGACGACCAGCGCAUUGGUGAUGACCGUGUCGACCGCGCCUUCGGCGCGGGUGCGCUGGGACUGGCCCAUGCCGUCGCGGAU
rnacentral:sRNA from 1 species